rnacentral:rRNA from 1 species
ACACGGGGGGCGCAAGCGUUAUUCGGAAUUAUUGGGCGUAAAGGGCGUGUAGGCGGUUUUAUCGGUCAGAUGUGAAAGCCCAGGGCUCAACCCUGGACGUGCAUUUGAAACAGUAAGACUUGAGUACGGUAGAGGAGAGCGGAAUUCCUGGUGUAGAGGUGAAAUUCGUAGAUAUCAGGAGGAACACCGAUGGCGAAGGCAGCUUUCUGGACCGAAACUGACGCUGAUGCGCGAAGGCGUGGGUAGCGAACAGGAUUAGAAACCCUAGUAGUCC